UUAACAUGCUCGGGAAUCAAACCCGGGCCGCCCGCGUGGCAGGUGAGCAUUCUACCACUGAACCACCGA
rnacentral:tRNA from 1 species